ACUGAUUAUUACGUAUUUAUGUUCUGAUUGAGAUGAUAGAAAUUAUAACAAUUUCCACUUUUGAUGGAGAUGAACGAUUGGAUCAACUCCACCGAUUGGAUCAAUUCCACUUUUCGAAAAUGGUAAUUACUUACAUAUCCAACUAUUAAUGGCCAUUAGAUUUAUUUAAUCGUGACUAAUAUGAAUGAACGGUAGAGAUUAGUAUUUUUUGUUAUUUGUAUAUAUAAUAUAUGUGAAAAAAGUUGUUUAAUAAUUUUUCAAAUUAGGAAUUUGAUAAAAUACCCAUUUAAGAUUGUUUAAUGAUAUGUUUAAUAUUUAUUAAUUAAAAUUUAGUGCGUAUUUAGUAAUAUAAAUUUACUAAUAUACUUAAAUAGCAUUCAAAAUUGUGCAAAUACUAUAUUAAGAUGAAAUAUAUAGACGUUAAUGCUAAGAGGAUAUGGUCGAAUUUCAAGUUGCCUAAUUUUGCAGGUGACGGCGAAUAAUGGUCGGAACCAAGAUCGAUCAGCAGGCUAAACUGUACGAGUCGAAGGUCAAACAACUUUUUGAAUACAACCCUUGUUAAUCGAGCUAACCGAGAACGAUAGGCAUUGCCUAGGGAGAUGUUUCACGAGUCAUUCUCUAUUGUUGGUUGUUAUUCUUGUUCGGGAUUAGAAGAUUAGACAAAUUUGUAACUUGAUGAAUCAUUAGUAUGCAUACUACAUUAGUUUUGGUAGCAUUUGUACUAAAAAAUAUUUAUCAACAAUUUGUACUAAUUUAUUGAUACAUAUAUGACUCGUAUUUUCUCCGCAAUUAUCAAACUGAUACAAUUUUUUGGUUUGUUUCUCCUGUGUUACUACAGUUUCAUCACUAAGCCGAAUUUCAUGUAGCACGAGUCGAACAACGUUUCAUAUAGUU
rnacentral:lncRNA from 1 species